UGCGGUUUAAUUGAAUCAACGCCGGGAAGCUCACCGGAUAGGACAGCAGAAUGAUGUCCGGGGUGAAGACCUUGCAUGACUAGUUGAGAGGAGGUGCAUGGCCGUCGUCAGUUCGUACUGUGAAGCAUCCUGUUAAGUCAGGCAACGAGCAAGACCCACGCCAACAGUUGCCAGCAUGGUCUCCGGACUGAUGGGGACACUGUUGGGACCGCCUCUGCUAAAGAGGAGGAAGGAAUGGGCAACGGUAGGUCAGCAUGCCCCGAAUUAUCCGGGCUACACGCGGGCUACAAUGGGCAGGACAAUGGGUAUCGACACCGAAAGGUGGAGGCAAUCUCCUAAACCUGUCCGUAGUUCGGAUUGUGGGCUGUAACUCGCCCACAUGAAGCUGGAAUCUGUAGUAAUCGCGUUUCAAAAUAACGCGGUGAAUGUGUCCCUGCUCCUUGCACACACCGCCCGUCAAACCACCCGAGUGGGGUUUGGAUGAGGCUGCGGUCGUUGCCGCAGUCGAAUCUAGGUUCCGCAAGGGGGGUUAAGUCGUAACAAGGUAACCAAGGGCGAAU
rnacentral:rRNA from 1 species